rnacentral:rRNA from 1 species
UACGUAGGGGCCUAGCGUUGUCCGGAUUUAUUGGGCGUAAAGAGCUCGUAGGCGGUUUGGUGAGUCGGGUGUGAAAUCUCCACGCUCAACGUGGAGGGGCCACCCGAUACUGCCAUGACUAGAGUCCGGUAGGGGAGUGUGGAAUUCCCGGUGUAGCGGUGAAAUGCGCAGAUAUCAGGAGGAACACCGGUGGCGAAGGCGGCUACCUGGACAGAAACUGACGCUGAGGCACGAAAGCUAGGGGAGCAAACAGG